AUAUGCCUUUGGGUAGCACAACUUAAAUAUACUAAGGAAAGAUCUCCUAGUAGAAGGUAAUGUUUAAUAUCAUUAUGACUUAAUAAUAAAAUAGAGGAAUUUUAAUUAUCUAGGUCUCACUUUCAUUAAUAUCAAUUUCCUACAUGUGCAUAGAUUGAUUUAAUCAUUUAUCAAGCCCUUCAGCAAUAUGAUUAUGGACUUUCUAAUGUAAGCUUACUU
rnacentral:lncRNA from 1 species